CGCAUCUGUGCAUGCAGCAUAUCAAUAAGCGGAGGAAAAGAAACUAACAAGGAUUCCCUUAGUAACGGCGAGUGAAGCGGGAAGAGCUCAAAUUUGAAAUCUUCAAGGUUUUACCUUGACGAAUUGUAGUUUAAAGAAGUGUUUUCUGUUGAAGUUUUGGUAAAAGUUCUUUGGAAUAGGACAUCAUAGAGGGUGAGAAUCCCGUAUUUGACCAUUAUUUUCAGCUGUGUGAUACACUUUCAAAGAGUCGGAUUGUUUGGGAAUGCAGUCCAAAAUGGGUGGUAAAUUUCAUCUAAAGCUAAAUAUUGGCGAGAGACCGAUAGCGAACAAGUACCGUGAGGGAAAGAUGAAAAGAACUUUGAAAAGAGAGUUAAACAGUACGUGAAAUUGUCAAAAGGGAAGCGUUUGACACCAGUGAUUGUUUUCUCGAAAAUCAAUUAAAAAGAGUUUGAUUUUGUUGUGUAUUGACCUUAACAGCUUGCAUUUCAAUUUUCUUGCUUUUUUUAAUGCACUUUUCGUUUAACAAGUCAACAUCAGUUUCUCUUGUUGUAAAAAGGUCAUUGGAAGGUGGCUUUCUUUUCGGAGAAAGUGUUUAUAGCCUUUGACUCCUGCAAUCGAAGAGACUGAGGUCUGCAGCGUAGAUCCUUCGGGGUUAGAUACAUUUGUGCUAAGUUAUAGCUUUUUAUAGACAACUUGUUGACUAUGAUUAGUCUUGUAGCUUACUCGCUUAUGCUAUUUUACCUACGCUUAGGAUGUUGAUGUGAUACUGCGAGCA
rnacentral:rRNA from 1 species